rnacentral:rRNA from 1 species
ACGGCUCAGUAACACGUGGACAAUCUACCCAAGGGUCUGGGAUAACCCCGGGAAACUGGGGAUAAUACCGGAUGGGUCACUACUUCUGGAAUGGGUGGUGACUGAAAGGCGACGCCCUUGGAUGGGUCUGCGGCGGAUUAGGUUGACGCCGGUGUAACGUACCGGCGUGCCUGUAAUUCGUACGGGUUGUGGGAGCAAGAGCCCGGAGAUGGAUUCUGAGACACGAAUCCAGGCCCUACGGGGCGCAGCAGGCGCGAAAACUCUACAAUGCAGGCAACUGCGAUAGGGGGACAUCGAGUGGCACCCACCUUGGGUGCCUGUCCCACCGUCUAAAAAACGGUGGUUAGCAAGGGCCGGGUAAGACCGGUGCCAGCCGCCGCGGUAAUACCGGCGGCUCGAGUGGUGGCCGAUAUUAUUGAGUCUAAAGGGUCCGUAGCCGGCUUUGCAAGUCCCCCGGGAAAUCCAGCGGCUUAACCGUUGGGCUUCCGUGGGAUACUACAUUGCUUGGGACUGGGAGAGGUAGGAGGUACUCGGGGGGUAGGGGUGAAAUCCUGUAAUCCUCCGGGGACCACCGGUGGCGAAGGCGUCCUACCAGAACAGGUCCGACGGUGAGGGACGAAAGCUAGGGGCACGAACCGGAUUAGAUACCCGGGUAGUCCUAGCCGUAAACGAUGCCCGCUAGGUGUCACGGCAGUCGUGAAUUGCCGUGGUGCCGUAGGGAAGCCGCGAAGCGGGCCACUUGGGAAGUACGGCCGCAAGGCUGAAACUUAAAGGAAUUGGCGGGGGAGCAC